GGUGAUGUGGCUCAGUGGUAGAGCACUUGCCUAGCAUGCACAAGGCCCUGGGUUCCAUUCCUCAGUACCA
rnacentral:tRNA from 1 species